GACGAACGCUGGCGGCGUGCUUAACACAUGCAAGUCGAACGGAAAGGCCCUGCUUUUGUGGGGUGCUCGAGUGGCGAACGGGUGAGUAACACGUGAGUAACCUGCCCUUGACUUUGGGAUAACUUCAGGAAACUGGGGCUAAUACCGGAUAGGAGCUCCUGCUGCAUGGUGGGGGUUGGAAAGUUUCGGCGGUUGGGGAUGGACUCGCGGCUUAUCAGCUUGUUGGUGGGGUAGUGGCUUACCAAGGCUUUGACGGGUAGCCGGCCUGAGAGGGUGACCGGCAACAUUGGGACUGAGAUACGGCCCAGACUCUUACGGGAGGAAGCAGUGGGGAAUAUUGAACAAUGGGCGGAAGCCGGAUGCAGCAACGCCGCGUGGGGGAUGACGGCCUUCGGGUUGUAAACCGCUUUCGCCUGUGACGAAGCGUGAGUGACGGUAUGGGUAAAGAAGCACCGGCUAACUACGUG
rnacentral:rRNA from 1 species